rnacentral:rRNA from 1 species
AUUUAACGGGGCUAAACCUGACACCGAAGCUUAGGCAAUACAGCAAUGUAUUGGGUAGGGGAGCGUUGUAUACGCGGAGAAACAGUAGCGUAAGCGGCUGUGGAGUGUAUAGAAGUGAGAAUGCCGGAAUGAGUAGCGCGAAUGCAGUGAGAAUCUGCAUGGCCGAAAGCCUCAGGUUUCUGGAGGAAGGUUCGUCCGCUCCAGGUUAGUCGGGAGCUAAGGUGAGGCCGGAAGGCGUAGCCGAUGCACAGACGGUAGAGAUUCCGUCACCACCAAAAGAGUUAAGCACAGGGACACAUAUGAAGUCUCAGAGCCGGGUGUUGGUUCCGGUAGAGAUCGAGGGAAAUUAGUACCGAAGUCUGAGAUGGAAGAUGGCGAGAAAAGCUGUGUGUAUUUCUGAGGUGCCCGUACCGCAAACCGACACAGGUAGGUAGGAAGAAGAUUCUAAGGCCAACGGGAGAAGGGUUGUUAAGGAACUCGGCAAAUUGACCCCGUAACUUCGGGAGAAGGGGUGCUCCAGAGAUGGAGCCGCAGAGAAUCGGCCCAAGCAACUGUUUACCAAAAACACAGGUUUGUGCUAAAUCGAAAGAUGACGUAUACGAGCUGACGCCUGCCCGGUGCUGGAAGGUUAAGAGGAGAUGUGCAAGCAUUGAAUCGAAGCCCCAGUGAACGGCGGCCGUAACUAUAACGGUCCUAAGGUAGCGAAAUUCCUUGUCAGGUAAGUUCUGACCCGCAUGAAAGGCGUAAUGAUUUGGGCACUGUCUCAACAGCCCGCCCGGCGAAAUUGUAGUACCGGUGAAGAUGCCGGUUACCCGCGACAAGACGGAAAGACCCCAUGGAGCUUUACUGUAGCCUAAUAUUGGGUUUCGAUGUUGCAUGCACAGGAUAGAUGGGACACUGGGAAGCAGGUGCUUUGGCGCUUGUGGAGUGGCCGUUGGGAUACCAUCCUUGCGAUAUUGGAAUUCUAACCUGCGCCUUUGAAUCAAGGCGGGGGACAUUGUUAGGUGGGCAGUUUGACUGGGGCGGUCGCCUCCUAAAGAGUAACGGAGGCGUUCAAAGGUUCGCUCAGCUUGAACGGAAAUCAAGCAAAAGAGUGCAAACGCAGAAGCGAGCCUAACUGCGAGACUGACGGGUCGAGCAGUAACGAAAGUUGGAGUUAGUGAUCCGGUGGUAUGUGAGUGGAAAUGCCAUCGCUCAACGGAUAAAAGUUACCCUGGGGAUAACAGGCUGAUCUCCCCCAAGAGUCCACAUCGACGGGGAGGUUUGGCACCUCGAUGUCGGCUCAUCGCAUCCUGGGGCUGUAUUCGGUCCCAAGGGUUUGGCUGUUCGCCAAUUAAAGCGGUACGCGAGCUGGGUUCAGAACGUCGUGAGACAGUUCGGUCCCUAUCUGUCGUGGGCGCAGGAUAUUUGAUGGGAGCUGUUCCUAGUACGAGAGGACCGGAGCGGACGUACCUCUGGCGCACCAGUUGUUCUGCCAAGAGCAUAGCUGGGCAACUAUGUACGGAUCGGAUAAACGCUGAAAGCAUCUAAGCGUGAAGCCGACCCAAAGAUAAGAUAUCCCAUUGUUUCAAACAAGUAAGACCCCUUGAAGACUACAAGGUUGAUAGGCACGAUGUGUAAGUGGAGCGAUCCAUUCAGCAAGCGUGUACUAAUAGGUCGAGGGCUUGACCA